GAUGAAGAACGUAGCGAAAUGCGAUAAGUAGUGUGAAUUGCAGAAUUCAGUGAAUCAUCGAAUCUUUGAACGCACAUUGCGCCCCAUGGUAUUCCGUGGGGCAUGCCUGUUCGAGCGUCAUUUACCCCCUCAAGCUCCGCUUGGUGUUGGGCGUCUGUCCCGCUUCGCGCGCGGACUCGCCCCAAAGGUAUUGGCAGCGGUCGUGCCAGCUUCUCGCGCAGAACAUUGCGCUUCUCGAGGCACCGGUGGGCCCGCGUCCAUCAAGCUCACCCCCCCAGUUUGACCUCGGAUCAGGUAGGGAUACCCGCUGAACUUAAGCAUAUCAAUAAGCGGAGGA
rnacentral:misc_RNA from 1 species